UACAGAGGGUGCAAGCGUUAAUCGGAAUUACUGGGCGUAAAGCGUGCGUAGACGGUUAUGUAAGUCAGGUGUGAAAGCCCCGGGCUCAACCUGGGAAUGGCAUUUGAGACUGCAUAGCUAGGGUGCGGAAGAGGGAAGCGGAAGUUUCCGGUGAUAGCGGUGAAAUGCGUAGAUAUCGGAAGGAACAUCAGUGGCGAAAGCG
rnacentral:rRNA from 1 species